GAUGAACGCUGACAGAAUGCUUAACACAUGCAAGUCUUUGGCGAAUCUGUGCUUGCACAGGCUAGCCAAGGCGGACGGGUGAGUAACGCGUAAAGAACUUGCCCUGCAGACAGGGAUAACAGACGGAAACGACUGAUAACACCUGAUACAGUUGCCGGCACGCAUGUGCCUGGCAAUGAAAAGAGAUGCUGCAGGAGAGCUUUGCGUCCUAUUAGCUUGUUGGUGAGGUGACGGCUCACCAAGGCGAUGAUAGGUAGCCGGCCUGAGAGGGUGAACGGCCACAAGGGGACUGAGAUACGGCCCUUACUCCUACGGGAGGCAGCAGUGGGGAAUAUUGGACAAUGGGGGCAACCCUGAUCCAGCAAUUCUGUGUGCACGAAGAAGGUUUUCGGAGUGUAGAGUGCUUUCAGCAGGGAAGAAGAAAGUGACGGUACCUGCAGAAGAAGCGACGGCUAAAUACGUG
rnacentral:rRNA from 1 species